UCCAAUUGGGCCAAAUGACCUCCUUAGAACAUGAUGGAUUUCACAAGUGCGCUAUGGUUGUGAGUUCCCAUACGCAAUCCAUGACGCAGGCCUGUGUGUCUCAAAACAUUACCUUAGAAAUACAAAAUUUUGAUUCAAUGUUGCCUUGUCUCGACACAAUAAACUCAUUUAUUGAGAGUUCGAUCCAAAGCUCAAUAUGUCUCGAAGCAUGAUAUUGGGAUAGUAGCAUCAACCUUGAAGUUUGUUUGUCUCCA
rnacentral:lncRNA from 1 species